GACGAACGCUGGCGGCGUGCCUAAUACAUGCAAGUCGAACGCUUCUUUCCUCCCGAGUGCUUGCACUCAAUUGGAAAGCGGAGUGGCGGACGGGUGAGUAACACGUGGGUAACCUACCCAUCAGAGGGGGAUAACACUUGGAAACAGGUGCUAAUACCGCAUAACAGUUUAUGCCGCAUGGCAUAAGAGUGAAAGGCGCUUUCGGGUGUCGCUGAUGGAUGGACCCGCGGUGCAUUAGCUAGUUGGUGAGGUAACGGCUCACCAAGGCCACGAUGCAUAGCCGUCCUGAGAGGGUGAUCGGCCACACUGGGACUGAGACACGGCCCAGACUCCUACGGGAGGCAGCAGUAGGGAAUCUUCGGCAAUGGACGAAAGUCUGACCGAGCAACGCCGCGUGAGUGAAGAAGGUUUUCGGAUCGUAAAACUCUGUUGUUAGAGAAGAACAAGGACGUUAGUAACUGAACGUCCCCUGACGGUAUCUAACCAGAAAGCCACGGCUAACUACGUG
rnacentral:rRNA from 1 species